UGAGAAAGGAAGCGGGCGGUUGGCCUGGCAGGUGGGGAGCCUCCUUCACGUAGACAUCUGGCGGUGGUUCGGCAAACCCAGGCCCCUCCUGUUUCGCAGAGGAAGAGCCUGGAUUCCUGACGCAGAGGCAAGCGUUCCGCCAGUGCGCUCCUGCGGCGCCCCGCCGGGAAGACUGACACCGGCCUCCUGGAACGCGAGGGUGAUAAAGCGAGAGGAAGAUUCCUCCUGAUAAAGCAGAAACGGCCUGUUCCUCAGAUGUCAGGGCUGCACAUGAGCUUCUGCAGUGCAAAGAGGCCACCCAGCUGUACACCGGGACAUUCCCGCACGGCCGGCUUGUGCAGAACAGCCAUCUGCAGGCGCUCCCAGGAAUCUGGCGGGGCUUUCGAGUCUAGCAGAGACUGGGAGUACGCAUCCAGGGGGUGCGAGGCACCCUGAGAGGCGGACGGAACCGCUGGCUUUCCCCCAGCAGGGCUGAUAUUCAGCUGCUGUGAAUGCCGCAGCCACACCACAUACUGAUGGAAACUGUCCUGAUGGCUGCAGAGUGGAAAGGGUCCAUCCCGUAAGGACUUGGAAAACCAAAGUCAUUCUGUGAUCUCUCCAGCCAAGGCCAUCUCCUCCUGAAAUAAAAAUAGUGCUUCACUGCCUACUGGGUUAUGAAGACUAAUUGCAGAAAAACACAAGCAUGUAUUCAUUUCCUGCUCCCGGAUGAGCAUCCACAGCUCUGUGCAGCCGGGGAAGGAUUAGAGUGGCAGGAAGAGGCUCUGCUCAGGGGAAUAGCAUGGGAGCCAGGAGCAAGCUCCAGUCCUCAGACAUGGACAGGCUGCCGCUCUGCCUCCAUAUUCCCCAGCCAGGUGGCCAUGGUGGAGAAAAGAUGAAUGGAAACGUGCUGGCUUGUGAAAUCAUCCAUGCAGUGGAAAGAGAAACGGCUUGCCUUUUCUAUCACUGUGCCUGCGAUGGAUCGACCCAGCCAAUGAGUCUGCAUGGCUGGUCCCCACCUCUUCUGCAUAGCUGGUCCUUCUCUGUAUCUUGCUCUGGGUUUUAUUUUCUACUCUGCCCAUUUCUCCUGCAGGAACUUUGGCUUUACAGUUUUAAGUCUUCUGAUGACUGUAGAUGUAUAGUUAUCCAGACUUCCUGUCCUUCUUGUUCUGUAUGUCACGUGCUUAUUAAAUUUCUCUGAUGGUGCCUUACUUUGCAACUGUUAUGGAGGGGUUCAAAAUCACCCAAGAAGAGGCCUCUGCCCUCUUGAGAUUCUGUAAUCUAGGAAAGAGGAUCCUAACGAUGUCUAAGCUAUAUUUACAGAUUUCCAGAGUCAUCCAUAAGAAUAAUCCUUUAAAUAGACACUAAUGUUAUUUCCAUUUUAAAUAAGUGAUAACUGAGGUUCAGAGAGGUUAAGUCAAUUGCCAGGGUCACAUAGCUGGCAAAUAAUGAAAAGAAAUAUGGAAGUGGAAUUUUAAUCCAACCCUUACGACUGUGAAACCUGGCCCCCCUACUAUUUUGUGACACUUUUUAGUACCCAACUAACAGUAAUACAAGGGUGAGAGUACUAAUAGCAGAAACAGCAGACAUGAAGAGAUGGGUGACUUAAGAGGAUGGGGAUGGGAACCAAGGGGGUUUCGUAAGUACCUUUUCUUAGGAAGGUCCUGAGUUUCCCAGCCCUACAGUUACUCCAGCAGACCCUGGAGCACUCUGUGGGCUCUUGGCUAGUGCUUCUGGCACCUGGGAUGAUGAUUUUAAUCCGUGGCCUGGAAACUGAGCCUCGAUGGAAUGCCUCUUGAUGUGUGCAUGGAGGGAGAAGGUAUGAGGGUAAAAAGAAGCCACGUAUCAAGUUUCCAGAGCUAGAGCACACAGUGGGCACCAGAGACCUUCUCUGCCGCAAAGCUGGCCCACUAGCUUUGGAUCUGGAGUGUACAGCCAUGGACUGCAUAAUGACAUUGACAUGACAUACAAAAGUGUCCCAUACGAUUAUAACAGAGCUGAAAAACUCCUGUAUUUUCACUGUACCUCCCUCUGUUUACAUACACACUUCCUUUCCAUUAGGUAUCCCAGUUGCCUACUUAAGAGCUGUACAGGUUCACAGCCUAGGAGCAAUAGUCCACACCAUACAACCUAGGUGUGCAGUAGACUAUACCGUCUGGGUUUGUGUUAAGUGCACCCUGUGGUGCUUGCACAACGUGGAAUUGCCUAAUGAUGCAUUUCUGGGAACCUAUCAUUAAGUGAUGCUCGACUGCAUAUAAACACAGCCACUGUUGGGCCAGUGAAAGGAACAAGAAAUGUGAUCCUUGAAGACAGUAGUUCUCAAGCUAUGCUCCUGAAUUUAUUUCAUAAGCGCUCACAAGCUGGACUUGGGGGUUCCGUGGUAAAAAUUAAAGCAUUACAGUUGUUACCAACUUUAUAUGAAUAUCCUACAGGUGUCUCAGCUUCAGCAGAGUUCAUUGAAAAUUUUUCAAAGAAAAACAGGCACCUACUCCAGUUAUCUGCCAGGGAACACUGAUACAAUACAACCAAUAAAUGAAGGGAGCUAAUGACUAUUAGCAGAAAACCACAGAAACA